AUUGAACGCUGGCGGCAGGCCUAACACAUGCAAGUCGAGCGAGCGGCGGACGGGUGAGUAAUGUUUGGGGGUCUGCCCGAUAGAGGGGGAUAACUACUGGAAACGGUGGCUAAUACCGCAUACUAUCGGAUGAACCCAUAUGGGUUUAUCUAGUAGGUGGGGUAAAGGCUCACCUAGGCGACUAUUUCUAGCUGGUCUGCGCGGAUGACCAGCCACACGGGUACUGAGCCACGGCCCAUACUCCUACGGGAGGCAGCAGUGGGGAAUAUUGCGCAAUGGUGGCAACCCUGACGCAGCCAUGCCGAGGGAAUGAAGAAGGCCUUCGGGUUGUAAAGUUCUUUCGGUAGCGAGGCGUUGACUACAGAAGAAGCACCGGCUAACUCCGUGCCAGCAGCCGCGGUAAUAC
rnacentral:rRNA from 1 species